rnacentral:snoRNA from 1 species
UAAAUAAGAAGGAUGAUUUCAUAGUUCAACAGAAAAAUCAGUGUUGAUUAACUUUUCUUUCGCUCCUAUCUGAUUUAUUUA